CACUUCUCGGCCUUUUGGCUAAGACCAAAUGUCGUA
rnacentral:snRNA from 1 species